rnacentral:snRNA from 1 species
CUGCUCACUUCGGCAGCACAUAUACUAAAAUUGGAACGAUACAGAGAAGAUUAGCGUGGCCCCUGUGCAAGGAUGACAUGUAAAUUCAUGAAGCGUUCCAUAUUAAA